CAAUUUGAUUGCAUGUGGGAAGUGCUUACCCUCUGAACAAUAUUCUCCGAACUUUGGUUACGUCAUGCAAGGAACGAGAAAAAACGAAAACAGUUGUGUACAGUGUGAAUUGUUUCCGAUACGGUUGUUCCUCUGAUUGCCAGUGAUGAAAUCGAUUGUGUUAAGUAUGAUUCAAAUUACGGUGUUUGAAAUUGGAUGCAGAUUUAAUCAAUCGUUAGUGCAUAAUCUUUUUUUGCUAUGCAAUUAAGU